rnacentral:rRNA from 1 species
GAUCAAAUCAAGCGCGAGAAGGGCGUUUGGUGGAUGCCUUGGCAGUAAGAGGCGAUGAAGGACGUGAUACUCUGCGAUAAGUCAUGGGGAGGUGAGAAUAACCUUUGAUCCAUGAAUUUCCGAAUGGGGCAACCCACCUGACAGUAUGUUAUAAUUGCUUCGGCAAUUUAUAACCUGCUGAAACAGGUACUUAAAACCUGAAUACAUAGGGUUUUAAGAGCAAACCCGGAGAACUGAAACAUCUAAGUACCCGGAGGAAAGGAAAUCAAUUGAUACUCCCCUAGUAGCGGCGAGCGAACGGGGACCAGCCGAGCCUUGAGAGUGAUCAGAACAUGUUGGAAAGCAUGGCCAUAGCGGGUGACAGCCCCGUAUGAGAAGCUCGAUGGGACGUAUUAAGUAGGGCGGGACACGUGAAAUCCUGUCUGAAGAUCGGGGGACCACCCUCGAAGGCUAAGUACUCCUUACUGACCGAUAGCGAACCAGUACCGUGAGGGAAAGGUGAAAAGCACCCCGACGAGGGGAGUGAAACAGUACCUGAAACCGAGCGCCUACAAUCAGUCGGAGCUUGACUGGACUCUAAUGACAAUCUGCUUCAUGAAGUGUGCAAACACUCAAUAAUGGAGCGGACAGUGUCGGACCUGGCUUUUAUUACAGAUGGAACAGCAGCAGCAAUCUUCUUCAUCGCAGGAUUGGUUGAUGCCGGUGUUAACCAUUGCCCAAACGAGGGGUGCUUCGCAAAAAACGAAGUACAAUCAUAUAACAGCCUUGCGGUCGGCACGACGCACUUUCAGAAGAACGAGGUUGGAGAAGAAUUCUACUUCCGGCGCGAAACAGCCCGAGCAGAUGGACCGUUUCAACGCGUAUGGGGUGUUUCUGCUUCAAGUGAUGGUGAACUUUGGGCUGGUUUCGGCCACGCCUACACGGUUUCCAAUCGCAAAGAUAACCUCUUUCUGACCUUGAAUGCGAUGACCGGCCUUUAUGAAGAAGGCAGCGGCGUUGAUCUCGGCGGGCCGAUCGAAUUUCGGUCUGGUAUCGAGGUCGGAUACAAAAACAAGCAAGGGGUAAAGAUGAGCCUGAGUGUCGACCAUCGGUCGAACAUGGGCAUCUACAGUUACAACCCUGGCCUUGAAACGGUGCAAUUCCGGGUGUCCAUACCAACCAGAUAAGGUUGUCAUUAGUGUCCAGUCUUGUGACGGCGUACCUUUUGUAUAAUGGGUCAUCGACUUGGUCUAUCUAGCAAGCUUAAGCCGUUAGGUGUAGGCGCAGCGAAAGCGAGUCUUAAUAGGGCGUCGAGUUAGAUGGAUCAGACCCGAAACCGAGUGAUCUAGGCAUGACCAGGCUGAAGGUAAGGUAACACUUACUGGAGGGCCGAACCCACAUCUGUUGAAAAAGAUCGGGAUGAGUUGUGCCUAGGGGUGAAAGGCCAAUCAAACUCGGAGAUAGCUGGUUCUCUGCGAAAUCUAUUUAGGUAGAGCGUCAUCCGAAUACCCUCGGGGGUAGAGCACUGGAUGGGUAAUGGGGCCCCACAGGCUUACUGAUCCUAACCAAACUCCGAAUACCGAGGAGUACUAGAUGGCAGACACACAGCGGAUGCUAACGUCCGUUGUGGAGAGGGAAACAACCCUGACCUACAGCUAAGGCCCCCAAUUCGUGGCUAAGUGGGAAAGCAGGUGGGACGACCAAAACAACCAGGAGGUUGGCUUAGAAGCAGCCAUCCUUUAAAGAUAGCGUAACAGCUCACUGGUCUAAAUAAGUUGUCCUGCGGCGAAGAUGUAACGGGGCUCAAGCCACGAGCCGAAGCUUAGGAUGCCGUAAGGCAUGGUAGCAGAGCGUAGUGUGACAUAGUUCCAUUCCUCCUUAGUGCCGUUCGCGGUACAUUGGAGGAGAGGAACUUUCUGUGAAGCCGGCGCGUGAGCGAUCCGGUGGAGAGAUCACUAGCGAGAAUGAUGACAUGAGUAGCGACAAACAGGGUGAGAGACCCUGUCGCCGAAAGUCCAAGGGUUCCUGCUUAAAGCUAAUCUGAGCAGGGUAAGCCGACCCCUAAGGCGAGGCCGAAAGGCGUAGUCGAUGGGAACCAGGUUAAUAUUCCUGGGCCAGGAGGAUGUGACGGAUUGUGAAGGUUGUUCAGGCUUAUCGGAUUGUCUGGGCCGCUAAUCAGUCCCUGGAAAUAGCACCUCCAUCAGAUCGUACCCUAAACCAACACAGGUGGACUGGUAGAGAAUACCAAGGCGCUUGAGAGAACGAUGUUGAAGGAACUCGGCAAAAUACCUCCGUAAGUUCGCGAGAAGGAGGCCCAGUUUCUACGCAAGUAUUGGCUGGGGGCACAAACCAGGGGGUGGCGACUGUUUACUAAAAACACAGGGCUCUGCGAAGUCGCAAGACGACGUAUAGGGUCUGACGCCUGCCCGGUGCCUGAAGGUUAAAAGGAGAGGUGAGAGCCUUGAAUUGAAGCCCAGGUAAACGGCGGCCGUAACUAUAACGGUCCUAAGGUAGCGAAAUUCCUUGUCGGGUAAGUUCCGACCUGCACGAAUGGCGUAACGACUUCCCCGCUGUCUCCAACAUCGACUCAGCGAAAUUGAAUUGCCUGUCAAGAUGCAGGCUUCCCGCGGUUAGACGGAAAGACCCCGUGCACCUUUACUACAGCUUCGCACUGGCAUCAGGAUUGUGAUGUGCAGGAUAGGUGGUAGGCUUUGAAGCAGGAACGCUAGUUCCUGUGGAGCCUCCCUUGAGAUACCACCCUUCGCACUCUUGAUGUCUAACCGCGGUCCGUUAUCCGGAUCCGGGACCCUGCGUGGCGGGUAGUUUGACUGGGGCGGUCGCCUCCUAAAGAGUAACGGAGGCGCGCGAAGGUUGGCUCAGAGCGGUCGGAAAUCGCUCGUUGAGUGCAAUGGCAGAAGCCAGCCUGACUGCGAGACUGACAAGUCGAGCAGAGUCGAAAGACGGCCAUAGUGAUCCGGUGGUCCCGCGUGGAAGGGCCAUCGCUCAACGGAUAAAAGGUACGCCGGGGAUAACAGGCUGAUACUGCCCAAGAGUCCAUAUCGACGGCAGUGUUUGGCACCUCGAUGUCGGCUCAUCUCAUCCUGGGGCUGGAGCAGGUCCCAAGGGUACGGCUGUUCGCCGUUUAAAGAGGUACGUGAGCUGGGUUUAGAACGUCGUGAGACAGUUCGGUCCCUAUCUGCCGUGGGUGUAGGAUACUUGAGAGGAGUUGCCCCUAGUACGAGAGGACCGGGGUGAACGAUCCACUGGUGGACCUGUUGUUGCGCCAGCAGCAGUGCAGGGUAGCUAUGAUCGGACAGGAUAACCGCUGAAGGCAUCUAAGCGGGAAGCCCCCCUCAAAACAAGGUAUCCCUGAGGACCGUGGAAGACCACCACGUCGAUAGGCCGGAGAUGUAAGCGCAGCAAUGCGUUCAGUUGACCGGUACUAAUUGUCCGAUAGGCUUGAUUUGAUCCAG